rnacentral:rRNA from 1 species
UAUCUCUGUAGAGUCUGCAUAUCAAUAAGCGGAGGAAAAGAAACUAACAGGGAUUCCCCUUAGUAACGGCGAGUGAAGCGGGAAGAGCUCAAAUUUGAAAUCUUCAAGGUUUGACCUUGACGAAUUGUAGUUUAAAGAAGUGUCCUUCGGUUAGAGGAGUAGUAAAAGUUCUUUGGAAUAGGACAUCAUAGAGGGUGAGAAUCCCGUAUUUGACUAUUCUUUCUAGCUUUGUGAUACACUUUCAAAGAGUCGGAUUGUUUGGGAAUGCAGUCCAAAAUGGGUGGUAAAUUUCAUCUAAAGCUAAAUAUUGGCGAGAGACCGAUAGCGAACAAGUACCGUGAGGGAAAGAUGAAAAGAACUUUGAAAAGAGAGUUAAACAGUACGUGAAAUUGUCAAAAGGGAAGCGUUUGACACCAGUGUUGUUUUUCCGAAAAUCAAUUAAAAAUUGAUUCAUGCCAGGUUGUAUUGACCUUAUCAGCUUGCAAUUUGGUUUUGGGUCUCUUUUUGAUGCACUUUUCGGUUAACAAGUCAACAUCAAUUUCCUUUGCUGUAAAAAGGUAAGAGGAAGGUGGCUUCAAUUUCGGUUGAAGUGUUUAUAGCCUUUUAUCUCUGCAGUCGGGGAGAUUGAGGUCUGCAGCGUAGAUCCUUCGGGGCUAGAUACAUUUAUGCUAAGCUAUAGCUUUUCAUAGACAACUUGUUGACUAUGUUUAGUCAUGUAGCUUACUCGUAAGUGCUAUUUUACCUACGCUUAGGAUGUUGAAGACUCUACAGAGAU